rnacentral:misc_RNA from 1 species
CCUCCUCCUCCUCCUCCUUCUCCUCCUCCUCCCCGUGGUCGUGAUUUCCACCAAGCAAGACCGACAGACUGACAAAAGCUUCUUCCAUUCUUUUGCCUGUCCGCCGGCCGUGUCUGUCUGCUCGUCUGUCUGUCUGUUCAUCUGGUGACGCCGCUACAGCUGUUCCCCUCCCGCCGCCACUGCGUAUAAGGUGUGUGAGGCGGCAGGUAGCAGGCGCCAGGUGGUCACCCCGACACACAACAGGUGUGAUCACGUGGCUUCGUCAUUAGCAGGUGUGCCAUGAGGUGCCGCUACACACCUGCAUAUAUACAGGACCUGAAGCGGAGACUUAAACAGUAAUCGGUUGCCUAACUUCUCGCCAACCCGGUACUUCGUGAAGAUGGGUAGAGAAAACACAACAAGUGACGACUGGAACUACACGCUGCCGAACCUGAUGGAGGCGCUGAUGGAGGUGGGCAGCGGACACGGGCAUGGCGGGGCGUCGGAGGGCAGCGGCAACCCAAUCCUGCAAGACCCCAGCAAGGAACCCCCUCCUACUACCACGCUAUGGGGGACACCACUCACCCCGACCCCUCCCCCUACCACCACCACCACCGCCACCACCACCACGCCCCCGCCGAUCAACAAACCGAUAUUUCCCUUAAACUUCACCCUGCGCACCACUUUAGGGACACUUUUAAGACCUAGGCCGAAUCUGACGGUGCUGGAGCCCUUAACUGCAGGUGCUGGGGGAGGGACAGGGAUGCCGCCCCUUGAGGAUGCCAGCGCGGGGACUUUGGGGAUGCUGGGACCCUCCUCCGACUUGGUUUUGGCCUCAGGGAAUGACUCCUUCGUCAGUAUGGACUAUUCCUACUCUCUCGGGGUCCUAAACGAGUCCUUCCUUAACGCCACGCAGCUCCUGGCGGGGAAUGACACCCUGGAAGGCCCUCUGGUGGACACUGCGGCUAUGGUGGUCACGUCUGUUAUCCUUGGCGUCAUGAUUCUUACGACGGUCAUUGGUAACGUGUUUGUGAUCGCCGCCAUACUGCUGGAGAGGAACCUACAGCAGGUGGCCAACUUUCUCAUCGUGUCCUUGGCUGUGGCGGAUCUGAUGGUGGCCUGCCUCGUCAUGCCCCUGGGAGCUGUAUACGAGAUAAGCAAGGAGUGGAUUCUGGGCCCGGAGCUGUGUGACAUGUGGACUUUUAGCGAUGUUCUUUGCUGCACCGCCUCCAUCCUGCACCUCGUGGCUAUAGCGUUGGACAGGUACUGGGCGGUGACACAAGUGGACUACAUUCACUCGAGAAACGGUACGCGGAUCGGCCUCAUGAUACUGAUGGUGUGGCUGACGGCGGUGGUGGUGUCCAUAGCGCCUCUGUUCGGCUGGAGGGACCCUGACUUCCUGGUGAGGGUAAACGAACACAAGAAAUGCCUGGUGUCUCAAGAUCUCGCCUACCAAGUGUUCGCGACCAUGGCAACUUUCUACGUGCCCCUCACCGCUAUUCUCAUUCUCUACUGGAAAAUCUUUCAAGCGGCGAGGAAACGAAUCCAUAAAAGCAAGUUCGGUGGCAAGAAGGAAGGCGGCCAGCAGCGAGGCACCAACAGGAAAGGAAAGGGCUUGAGGGCGGCGGCGGCGGCGGCAGGUGGAGACGCAGCCCUAUGCACGCCCCCGCCGCCAGCCACAGUGGGAGGGCCGGCCAGGGAAGCCAUCAGACCCAACGGCGUGGCGGAGCAUCAGCAGACCACGGCCUUCACCACAGUCGCCAGCGGAGCGUCCCCUGACAAAUCUUCUAAUAACGGCGCACUCUCCGUCUGCUCCCACGUGUCUGAAGUGUCACGGCAAGAGAUGCUACCGAAGGAGCCGCCGAAGAAGUCCAAGAAGGAGACACUGGAGGCGAAGAGGGAGAAGAAGGCUGCUAAAACACUGGCUAUCAUCACAGGAGCCUUCGUUAUUUGCUGGCUACCCUUCUUUGUGACUGCGCUUCUCAUGCCCAUCUGCCCAGGUUGCUAUUUCUCCGACGUUAUGUUCUCCAUCUUCCUCUGGCUUGGCUACUUCAACUCCACCCUCAACCCCAUCAUCUACACCAUCUUCAGCCCUGAAUUCCGGGAGGCGUUCAAGAGGAUUCUAUUUGGCAGGAAGAACCAGAGAUACAGGCCCGGGAAGACACGAUAAGAACUCCCGCCGGCGUGUCGUCCCUGCUUCACUGAUUGUCACGUGUAUUUCUUUAAGGAGGCGAGGGAGAGUGGAGGCUAUAGAGAGGGAGUAGUGAUGACAUGUAGAGGCUACGGUGAGUCUUGGAGAGUGAAGAUGAAGAAGACGAGGAAAAAGGAGAAUCAGUUUGUCUUCUCACAGUCACACUCUGAGCUAACGAAGACGCAAGGCAAUCACCCACAGGCACCGAG